rnacentral:rRNA from 1 species
UACGUAGGGUGCAAGCGUUAAUCGGAAUUACUGGGCGUAAAGCGUGCGCAGGCGGUUUUGUAAGUCCGCUGUGAAAGCCCCGGGCUCAACCUGGGAAUUGCGAUGGAGACUGCAAGGCUUGAAUCUGGCAGAGGGGGGUAGAAUUCCACGUGUAGCAGUGAAAUGCGUAGAGAUGUGGAGGAACACCGAUGGCGAAGGCAGCCCCCUGGGUCAAGAUUGACGCUCAUGCACGAAAGCGUGGGGAGCAAACAGG